rnacentral:SRP_RNA from 1 species
CGCUAGGCUUGACCGGGACGCUCGGCGUGUCCUUGUACACCGAAAUCGUCGAUACGCGGGGGUGACAGCGGGGGACGUCGUAUCCGGAGAGCCUUAGGCCCAUGAGCAGGUGCUGAUGUCCUGUCCUGCGGGGUCGGUGGCUGCAUCGUGGCGCAGCUGGAGGGUUGCGCCCCUUGCUCUAAUCGCGGGGACCGGGUCAGGCCCUGACGGGAGCAGCCUAACCGCGGACUACCUACGCUCGAAGGGGAGCGGGGCGGAGCUUGCGCAUGGCAAACCUAGGGCGACCCGAACGGCAACCUUCGUGGCCUAGCA